rnacentral:rRNA from 1 species
AUGAAGCCAUUUGCCCUAGAAAAAAAUGAGGAGAGGACUUUCGGGAAGAAGCGCCGCCAUCUCGAGGCAGAGCCUACGCAGGAGCACUUGUGCUCUCCGACGGAGCGAUUCCGCCGGGGAUACUUCCCUCCAGGACGGGGAAAUCAAAGCUAUCGACAUCACCAACAACCCUCUCAUAAUGGAAGGACCAAUCUUCAUCAACAUCUUCACCAACACCAUCUCAUCUCAAACCAUAGUUCAUUUCUUGUAUUAAAUCUUUGUCUCAAAACUUCAGAUUGGUACAUGUGGGUUGCUAGUAGUGUUGUUUACAUCUUGUAG